AUGGAGGCCCGCCUCCUCAAGACCCGACCGCUCCACGCCAUCUUCUCAGACGCCACCAUCUCCCGCUUCGCACGCAACCUGUUCGACGCGGUGCCGCGCCCGACCCCGGCGUUCUGCAGCACCUUCCUCUCCGCGCUCUCCAGGAGCUCCUCCCACCAGGACCUCCUCCAAGCCUUCUCGUCGAUUCAUCUCAAGGGCGCCGACGUCCCGUCCGGCUGCGUCCCGCUUGUUUUCAAGUCGUGCGCGCUCACCGCUUCGUCCUGCCAGGGCAGGCAGGUGCACUGCCAUGCUCUUGUCCGUGGGCUGCUUGGGGAUGUCUUUGUGCUGACAGCUCUGGUGGAUUUCUAUGCCAAGAAUGGAGACAUGGAGUCUGCCGUCAGUGUCUUUGACGAGAUGCCGGUGAAGGAUCCGAUACCGAUAAACUGUUUGAUCACCGGAUAUUCGAAAUCUGGUGAUGUGGGUAAGGCCAGGAGGCUAUUUGACGGUAUGGAGAGGAGGACAUCCGCUUCGUGGAAUUCGAUGAUCGCCUGUUAUGCUCAUGGUGGGGAAUUCCGGGAAGCAUUGAUGUUGUUUGAUCGGAUGCUGAGUGAGGGUGCAAGACCAAACGCUAUCACCAUCACGUCAGUGUUUUCGAUAUGCGCCAAGUCUGGCGAUCUUGAUACUGGCAAGCGUGUAAGGGCUCUGAUCGGUGAGGAGGACUUGCAGAACGUGAUAGUGCACACUGCUUUGAUGGAAAUGUAUGUAAAGUGUCGGGCUAUCGACGACGCACGUCGGGAGUUUGACCAGAUGUCAGAGAGAGAUGUCGUGGCAUGGAGCACCAUGAUUGCAGGUUAUGCGCAGAAUGGCAGGCCACUCGAAUCUCUUGAACUGUUUGAGAGGAUGAAGGCAACCGAUUGCAGGCCAAAUGAAGUGACACUUGUUGGUGUGCUAUCCGCGUGUGCGCAGUUGGGUUCUGAUGAAUUGGUUGAGCAGAUUGGGAACUAUGCUGAGAACCAGAGGCUACCACUUACGAGUUACCUAGGAUCUGCGCUAAUCGACAUGUACACCAGGUGCGGGCAUGUUGGAAGGGCCCGGAAUGUCUUCAGCCGGAUGGAACAAAAAGGGGUCAUCACAUGGAACUCCAUGAUCAGAGGCCUAGCAAUGAAUGGCUUCGCAGAAGAUGCGAUCAGCCUGUAUGAAAAUAUGGCGGAAAAUGGAGUCCAGCCCAAUGAGAUCACCUUCGUCGCGCUGCUAGCAGCAUGCACGCAUGCUGGCUUGGUAGACCAAGGUAUGGCAUUCUUCGAAGAGAUGAAGAGAGAACACCAUGUUUCCCCUCAAGUGGAGCACUGUGCAUGCAUAGUGGACCUCCUGUGCAAAUCCGGCAGACUGUGGGAGGCGUACAAGUUCAUCUGCGACAUGGAAGUCGAACCAAACGCAGUGAUCUGGACCACGCUGCUCAGUUCCUGCAGAGCCCAUGCUGAUGUUGAGCUUGCAAAGCUUGCCGCGAGCAAGCUCCUCACAGUGGAGCCUGACAACUCCUCAAUCUACGUCCUCCUGUCCAAUAUCUAUGCCGAUGCCGGCCUCUGGGGCGAUGUGAGGGAGAUCAGGGACCUGAUGAGGAGCAAGAACGUGCAGAAGCUGUCUGCCUACAGUUGGAUAAAGCUUGAUGGUGAAGUGCACAAGUUCCUGGUGCAAGACACAUACCACCCAAAAUCAGCUGAGAUUUACGACGUCAUCCACGGCUUGGGGUUGCUCCUAGACCGCGCCGACUCUGAUCCAGACCUGCUAGUUUCAGAGCUCUGUUGA
rnacentral:rRNA from 1 species